AUGAAUUUUAAAGGAUGACUGAUGGUCCUUGGAAGAGAAACAGUAAACAAAUAAGGUAUGAUCUCGUGAAAUCUUGAGAGAAACUGAAUGACGAAUGAAACUAUUGUUCCUGUUUCACACAGAAGAAAACUGAGGUUGGCACUCAUCAUGAGCCCCUGUUCUCAUUCUGCAAAUGGUGAAGCUCUCUAUUGUCCUGACCCCACAGUUCCUGUCCCAUGACCAGGGCCAGCUCACCAAGGAGCUGCAGCAGCAUGUAAAGUCAGUGACAUGCCCAUGCGAGUACCUGAGGAAGGUUGAUGGACGGAUGGCUACAUGGAUGUGAUGGAGAUGGUUUACUAUCGGGACCUUCCGCACCCUGCUGAUGUUUUGUUGCUUAGGAUAUGAAUGGCUGAGCGGAGGCUGUAAAACCUGGCACUCUGCUUGGGUUAUCAAUACUCUGGCUGACCAUCAUCAUCGUGGGACUGACUUUGGUGGAAGUCCUUGGUUACAUGUCAUUAUUGCGUUUCCGACAAGUUAUAAAGUUGUCAUUACCCUCUGGAUAGUUUACCUUUGGGUGUCUCUCCUGAAGACUAUCUUCUGGUCUCGAAAUGGACAUGAUGGAUCCACGGAUGUACAGCAGAGAGCCUGGAGGUCCAACCGCCGUAGACAGGAAGGGCUGAGGUCCAUUUGUAUGCACACAAAGAAAAGAGUUUCUUCCUUUCGAGGAAAUAAAAUUGGCCUGAAAGACGUCAUUACUCUACGGAGACAUGUGGAAAC
rnacentral:lncRNA from 1 species